AGAUCAGCAGCAACACCUAGCCAACCCACAGCUUACUUACAGCAGACAUGUGAAUCAAUCUAGCCAAGACUAAAAGAAUCACUAAACCAAUAUGUCAUCCUAUGAAUAAUAGUAAACGUUUGUCUUAAACUAUCAUAUUAUAGGAAAAAAACCUGAUAUAUGAAAUUACCCUGUGAGUUUAUAUUAAAGAUACACUUACCUUCUCCAACAAGAGUUGUAACAAUUUUUUUCUUAUUGCAAACAAUGCUAUGGGGAUACUUAUAGUAGCAUUUCUGCUCAACGUAAUAUUUUAUUGUAGCACUGUUUGCAAUAAGAAAAUAAUUGGAAACUGCAGAAACGAUCACUAAUGAGGUAUGGGUUAAAAAUCUUUUAAGUUGAAAGCAACAAAUGUGACAAUUAAAAGGCAUAAAUUAGACAUAUAUUUUACAUUAUCACAACUUGUAUUACUAAAUGAUAAAAAUGAGUUGCAAAAUAAUAUAUAGAACUUUAUAUUUUAUAAAUAUGCACAUGAAAAAAUGUUUGUAAGUAUGCACAAACUGUUAACAGUUAUUACUUCAGAGGAGUGAAAAAUAGGUUGAAAAUGAGAAUGACUUUCAUUUUUAGUAUACUUAAGUACAUUUUCAAUUUUCAAUUAUAUGCAGUGAUUUUGUCCUUUAAAAAAUAGGAUGGACUUUUUUAAAUAUAAGGAAGACAUUUUCUGUGAAACAAUAAAUUACUCAGUAUAUACUUAAUGUGCAUGAAGUAUGAGGUAGGAAUACAUCCACUGACAUUCUUGCAUUUGCAUACCACUUCCCCAAAUAUGAACUCACUUCUCUGACUUUGCUAGGGCUGAGGAAUCAUCAUUACAAUAUCUGUAAAACUGGAUUUAUUAAGUGCAUCCAUAUUGUUUAUGAGUCAUAGAAAAUAUGUUCAUUUUCCUAUCCAUGUUAAAGGCUGCUUGGAGGAUUGACGGAGCAUUGCUUAGAAAAUGUUCUGGAAUUCAGAUGAAGCUGUGUUAGUAUAAAUCAUUACUGGUUACCAUAUACUCACACAUACUUAGGGGAUAAAGAUCAGAAAUUACUUAAAUGUACUUUGUCUUCUUCAAUCUUUCCGUAGCAGCACAUGGGUCAAAAUCUCCUGAAAGUUGAGCAGGGGAGCUGUAGAAGAAUUCCUCCUUUUCUCGCAGAUGAAAUCUUAUGAUAUAGCAGGGGUUACCUGGCCAAGAAGGUAAGUCUGUCAUCCAGCAGUGCUUGCAGAGGGACUAAAAUGAAUUAGGAUGUUCAGAGUUGUAUGUUAGGUGCUGCAGAAAGGAAGAAAAGAUCUCAUCCAUAAAGGGGUCUUUGACCCUGGGGAAUGGCAGUUGGCAAUUACGCUGCUUCUCAGUUCCAUCCUGUGUUGCCCCAGGUUUACUUCAUGGUCACCCAAACUUUCUUUGCCAUGUCUUUUGUAAGACUUCUACUUAUUACUAUGUAUCAUCAUCUUUUGGUAAAUAUAAAUUCUGGCUAGGAGAACUAGGACAGACAGGGGAGCUGUCUGCACACUGUGAUUAGGCAUGCAUCAAUUCAGAGCUCCAUGCUGCUAGCUCCUGUAUUCUGCUGAGCUCCCAGGGAGGAAAUAGGAAAAGGGAGGAGAACUCACCUGUCCAAUUACAACCUACUCUGCAGUACAAAGUACUGCAAAUUCCACACAGUGGAUCUCUGUGAUUGAAGGAGCACUUGUAAAAUCUGAGACAUCCUAGUUUUUGAUUUGGUAUCCAAAACAAAUCUGAACUUUUAAUUAAAUAUUGUUCUUUUUCCUUCUUGUUUCCAAAUGAAUAGUUACACCAGCAAACUUAUUGGCUGAAAAGUUGUUUCCUACAUUUGCACUUUGAAGUGCAUCAGACAGUGGUGUGUUUGGAUGUGGGUCUUGUUGAGUUUGGUUAGUGAGUUAUUAUUGGUUGGGAUUGCAGUGGUCCUGCCAAUGGAAGAGAAGUAGGUGUGCCGAGUACUGUCAUGUUCACCUCCGCCUUUCACAGAGGCAUAUUUAGCCCUCAGUUGGUAAGUGAACUUUUUGACAAAGGUUUAAGAGGUCGUAGAGUCUGUGUAAAAGACAAAAGUCCAAAAGUGAAGCAGAAGGAAUCCAGCUUCUUAUUUAUGUCUGGCAUGGGAAGCUUCUGGAUUUGAUAGUGGGUGCACCGAAAUUUGCAUCCCAAGUCAUAGCCUUUGCUCUGCCCUACCUUCUGGUAUGUUGUUUUUCAAGUUACUUAACCUCUCAGGGCUGCAACUUACUUAUUUGAAAAAUGAAUUCUAGAAUCACAGAGUUGGAUACAAUCUUAAGGGCCAAUUAGUCAAACUUUCUUUCCAGAGGUAUUCUGCAUGAUCUGAAAUGUGUCUCUGAACUAUAGCUUCCUGAAAUUUCAUUAUUCUUGUAGGAACACAGAGGAGAACAAAGAAAAUUCAAGGAACUAAAUUCCUUCUCCACCUCAACCACCAGCAUUGAUACUCCAUCACUUAUGUACUGCAUCAAGCCGUCCUCAGAGGUGAGGAAGGUGCUGUCAAGACUAGAAGCAUGUGUCCCUCUCUCCAUUGCAAGAUGGGACAUAGAGAGGAGAAAAGUGGCAGACAGAAGUCUUAGGUAUGUCUUUAUCAGCAGCAUGAAAAUGGACUAAUACAGGGACCAAUGAUUGCAUCUACCUCAUGGACUUUUUAUGAGAAUUGACUGAUUUAAUAAAUGUAAAAGACUUAGAACACUGCCUCAUCUAUUGUAAACAGUCAAUAAAUAUUAGUAUCAAUUUUCAUUGAAUCCUAAUCAGUAUAACUAUAAUGUUACAUUCAUGAAUAAGACAAAGGCUGGGACAAAAUAAAUGAGACACUUCACUCAG
ensembl:lncRNA LINC02432 long intergenic non-protein coding RNA 2432